rnacentral:rRNA from 1 species
CAGUAGGGAAUCUUCCACAAUGGACGAAAGUCUGAUGGAGCAACGCCGCGUGAGUGAAGAAGGGUUUCGGCUCCCGUAAAACUCUGUUGUUAAAGAAGAACAUAUCUGAGAGUAACUGUUCAGGUAUUGACGGUAUUUAACCAGAAAGCCACGGCUAACUACGUGCCAG